UGCGUAGGCGGCUUAGCAAGUCAGGGGUGAAAGGCAUUGGCUCAACCAAUGUAAGCCUUUGAAACUGUUAGGCUUGAGUGCAGGAGAGGAAAGUGGAAUUCCUAGUGUAGCGGUGAAAUGCGUAGAUAUUAGGAGGAACACCAGUGGCGAAGGCGACUUUCUGGACUGUAACUGACGCUGAGGCACGAAAGCGUGGGAGCGAACA
rnacentral:rRNA from 1 species